UUAUUUUUUAUUUUAUUUUUUAUUUUUAAAAUACUAGAUUUAGCCUGCUUUGGGAAAAGGGUUAUGGAGCCUUUUUAUAGUGUUUAGAGAGAAGGGGCAAGGCUCUUCCCAGGUGAUGUGAGAUUAGUUUUGCCUUAUUUUCCAUCAAAAACUUUCCUUAAAAAACUUUUCUAAAACCCUAAUGCAUAUGCAUGCUUAGGGUUUAUGUAAGGUUUUUCUCUUCCAAAAACAUCCUUCAACUAAAAAGCUCCUUUGGCUAGGCCCUAGAUCAAUCAUAGACCUAUCUAGUGAUAUAGUCAUUGGGGAAUGAGAGUUCGAGUUGUAAGGGGUACAAAAUGAGAUGUCUACAAAUAUACUUCAAAAAAUUUACCUCCUAAUUCAUGUGAUUAAAUGAAUUGUAUAAACUAUUCCAUAUUUCAUAUAACAAAUCAUUGGAAGCAUUGAUGUUCACCUUGUCCAUACAUUGGUAUUUCUUGAAGUCCGUGUGAUGCUUAUAUUUAUGAUUAUGUUUGUUUUAGAUUUAUAUUUCUUUUACUUUUUAUUGUGCAUGUUUAUGUUUAUUUAUUUUUCUUUUCAAUUUAUUAUUUAAUUUGCAAACAAGUAAUAAUGUUAGGGAAAAAAGAGGUUGAGUAAAGGCUAAAGAUAUCAAUGUAAGAAAAUGGGCAUGGUUUGUUGUACAUGGAACAAAGCUGAUUUUGUAUCUUUUAAGAUCUUAUACUCUCCUAUGGUUUCCUUAAUGAUGUAUCCCAGGUUGCCAAAUGACGUUCCAAAUACAAAUUUCUUUUAAUAUUUAAAUUUUUGAUUAGUUCAAUGCAACACAGAAUUUCUUAUUUCGAAAAUAAUAUAAACCACAAAAUGCUUUAUCUUUGUCACUACAAUUUUUGGUGCUAUCAUUGGGGCAUUGAAAAAUAAUAUAAUUAGCUUUCACCCAAUUACGUUUUUUGCUCUAAACUUUCAUCCAAAUCUCAAAAUUUUCAAGAUAGGCUUUUGUAAUUUAGUUUUUGCUGACUUUUAGCAAGUCUUUCAUUUCCAACUUCUUUAUAAAUAAAGGGGAACACCCACCAUUAGGGAAAAACUUCUCCCAUAAUUCAUUAAAAUCCUACAGGAAUAAGAAAAACCUCUUUUGGUCGAAUAACUAUUAAUAAUUGAACCAUUCCUUUAAAUAUUAUUUGUAGUUCUUCAUUUAAUGGUUCUCAGGAUGACAAUUAUAACACAUAUGAUAUAUAUAUAUAUAUAAACACAUACGAAAAUCAAUAGGCUGAAUGCUCCAAACUACAGCGACGAUUUGAUGACCUGAAGAGAAAAAAAGACUGUCAAGGGUGAUCGGGGUGAACUAGCCAAGGACUCUCCGACGGUUAAGUCAGUUUUCUCUUUCUAGAACACAAGGAUAGUGAGUAGGUGAAUAGUAAAACGUACCUUGGGUUGAUGGUGUUAGAUCCCUUUUAUAGAGAGCUUUUAGUGGAUCUACUUGUUUGGAUCCACUACCAUCAUGUGAGAUGUGUGGGAUUAGUGGAGAAAAUGGGGUGGAUUUUGGGGAAUCCUCCCCACGUUCCGGAAUGAUAGAAUAUGGUCCAAUUGUUUGGUGUUUGUAGAAGAAUCCUUUGAAAUUUACUAAGUGUCAUUUGGUCGUCCAUGCCUUUUUAUGACAUGGACAACUAGACUACCCUGGACGAUCAUAACAUUUGUGGACGAAUCCUAUUUAUUAUCUGUGGUACCUUUUAUUUGGCUCCUUUUCCUAUGAACUAGUCUAGACGUGGUUUGGUCAUGGACGACCAUCAUGGACAAAUGGAACUUGAUUUAGCCCACCAUUAUUUGCCCCCUUGUCCUUGUGUUGUCCAUACUACUGUUGAAAUCAUUAUUGUUAUUAUUAUUUUACAUGUGGCGAUUUUUCACUCGUUGAUGAGUUUUCCAUGUGGCGUCGUGGGGUAGCUUGGGAUUAGACAUUUUGGAUAUCACCACGUGACUCAAUCCUAAUGGUUUACACGUCGCGUUGUUUCAUUCUUCAAGAAAAUUACCACGUGGCACUUCCUUGUUGGUCUAUGUCACUUCGGUGUCCCUCCUUGUUGCCUAUAAAUAGGCCAAUACCUCUCUUACCCUCUCACUUUCUCAUAUUUUCUUCUUUGACAUCAGUCGUCCUUCGUGCCUCGUCUAGAAGUUCCCUUUCGUCAUUAGUCCUCUCCAUCUAGAAUCAGGUAUCCUCUUCUUUUUGUUUGUAGUGUCCUCGUCUAGUGAUAGGGAUGAAAGAGAAAUAGACGAGAAUUAUGACGAGAGUAAUAUUAGUGGUAGUAGCAGUGAGAGUAGCAAUAGUGAGAGUAAUUCCACGAACGAGCAAUACUCAUCUGGAGUUCCUAGGGUUCUCUAAAGGUCCUCUAGGAGGAGAUGAGGGGGAGGGCAGCUUCUAGGUCGUCUAUUAGCCCGUCCACAAGUGUUGAACUGUCCAUUCCUUCUCCUAGUGAAGAGGUGGACAUUAUAUAUAGUUAUGCUGUAAAAAUUUCGUCCAGAGUGUAUGAAAAGUGACUUCUCAUGCUUAGAGAUUGUGAGGGAUUUUCACAAUUUGCUCCAGUACCAAUGGGCUUGGUCUGCAAUCGAAUGCUAUAAAAGAUUUGUGCCCCCUCAUCCUUCACCAAUUGGUCAUUGGAUGGAUCGGUAAGGCACACGGUCCGACAAGUGGUAUCAGAGCCCAGUCAUAGGUUCAAGUCAUUGGAGCUGCAUUGUGAGGGAGGGAUUGUGAGAGAUUUUCACAAUUCGCUCUAAUACCAAUGGGCUUGGUCUGCAAUCGAAUGCUAUAAAAGAUUUGUGCCCCCUCAUCCUUCACCAAUUGGUUGUUGGAUGGAUUGGUAAGGCACACGGUCCGACAAAAAUAAAUACCAAAUUCUUGAUGAAGUCAAUCCUCGUCUUGCUGCCCCUAGUGAGUGGUGUUGUACCCCAAAUUCUCCUGGGGUUGGUAUAUACGAGGCUUACCUAUUAGGAGGCCUUAGGUUGCCUUUGAACGCCUUUACCAAAGAACUCCUUCAUAGGUUGGGUAUAGGGCCAACCCAACUUAACCCAAUGCGUGGAGGACCAUAGUGGCUAUGCAAGUACUAUGGAGAGAGGCUUUCGACGGGAACUGUCCUUUUAUUAUAGACGAGUUCCUAUUCUGUUAUAAGCCCUCUGAGAUAAGCCAAUCCCUUGGUUUCUACCAAUUCUCAGCUAGAGGCUCUAAUUGUAGGUUAAUUAGGUCCCUGCUCUCGUCUAAUAGGAGGUGGAAGAAGGAAUUCUUCUAAGUCUCUGGGUAUUGGGCUGGAAACCCUAUUGAGGUAGGUAGGGAUACUUUCCCUCCUUACACUGGUGAAAUGGGUUGUCUACGUUCUAAGGGUAUGUUGCUUACUUUUGUCUCGUCUUGAAUAUCCUGUUAUCAUUGUCUGACUCUUUUUUCAACAGUAGCUUGUCCCUCGCUGAACAAAUUUCGUUUGAAUCGCAUCCAGCAAGCACGCUCUUUUGUUGACAGAACCUUUCAUUCUCUAGUGACACUCCACUGUCUAUUAGCUUGGGACUUGGACCUGUUCCUACAGAGGUAGCAAUAGCUCACAAACUCACAACUCGUCAACGAAUGGCAACUAUGAAGGAGAAUAAGGGAAAAUUCCUUACAAGUGAUGCAGCUGUCCAGACAGAAGGGGACAUCCUUACUCAGUCUUGUCCAACAACCUCAGAGAAAAGGAAGACUAUAUCAAGGAUGCUUAAUACUGGAAGUCUUCCCAGCUGUUGAAGCAAUAAUAAGCCUAAACUUGGCUCUUUUACUCUGUCUAAGCCUCUUGUUGUCGAAACUAACCCUUCCAUUCCUCCUACUACAUCCAAUCAGCCGCCGACGGCCAAAACUCCUCUCCUUGUUAUGAGCUCGUCCAUGAACCCAUUUGCUGCUGCACCUCUUGAAAGUCGUCCAUUGACUCUCUUGAGAAGUGAGGGUCCUGCUUGGGACAGGUUCCAUCAGGUAGUGACAGACAAGGACAUCACUAUUUGCUAUGACAUGUCUGUGAAGGAGUUUGAAUGAUCCACAAUUUUCAAGGUCAUGUCUAAGUUCAUGGCAGCGUCUAGGCAAGCCAGAGCUAGACAAAGAAAGGACUAGGCUAGAGACGAGGGUUUGUGACAUGGAGAAGGAGGCGAGUCGCAAGGCUGGGGAGAAAGUAAAGUUGGAGGACGAGGUGAAGGAACUGAAGAACCUUGUCGAGGAGUUAAAGGUAUAUAUCGUCAAGAAGGAGACUCAUCUAGACCAUUUCCAGAAGAAAAAUGAUGAGUUUACUUCCUCUUUGAGCAAGGCUAAGGACGAGGCCAUUAGAGAAUUUAAGAUGUCUAGUGAAUUUACUUAACUUUUAGACAAGAACUAUGUUGCAGGUUUUGAGGACUUCUAUCUGGAUGCCACUGAAGCCUUUCCUAGGGUGGACUUCAAUUCCAUCAAGCUUCCCAUUACAGUUGAAAGUUCUUUACUUCAGACUAGCUCAGAGGACGUGAACAUUGAAGAUGAUGCCUCUACUCAUCUUCCAACUAAGAAUGAUUCAAAGUCUGGGGAUGUUGCCCCCAGUGGUUUAUCCAAGUAGUUUUGAUUGUAAGCAAAAAUUUAUUUUUGUUUUUACUUAUGUUGUUGGGGGUCCGUUGUUUUGGACCGUAUUUUAGUUUUUAUAAGUACAAUUUCCUCGUCCAUAAUUAUGGACAUAAGUUUUAUACAUUUGCCUUUUUAGGCUUAAAUAUUUUUAAGGGUUU